ACCGCGCGAAAUACAAAUUUUGUGUCAGUUUCAGUGAUUUAAUUCUCAAAAACGAGUCUGUUUAAGUCCGCGCUGUGUAUCUGCUUAAAGAUAAAGUUCCUGCCACAUGUGUUAUUGAGUCAGAACUUAUUAAAGGACAAGAAUCUGACGACGGAAAAUCUCAUCAACGGCUAAACUGUUACCUGGAAAGUGAGAAAUGGAUAAAAAGACGUUGGUGAAGCGGCGCCCUGCUAAACCCUGAAGUUCGAUGGAAAAUGACCACAUGUCAAGGAGGGCUGCUGAGGUUCAGAGAGUCUCAGUGUCCGACAGAAAAGACCCGGGACUAUGAUGUAAAAGAGAAAAUUACAAGGAGGCCUGGAUCUCGGAAACUUAAAUAACUAGUGAAUCAGACGGGCCAUGCCAAUCCAUCUUAAGGCAGUCUGAGCUACUAAAAUAAUGAAAUUAAAAAGAGAGAAGAUCUGUCUGCGUCAGUGCUUUAGUGCAGAUGAAGGUGGCCGAACAGAUUUUCCCCAUGAAGGAGGUCCAGAAAGUGUACUUCACCAGCAAAUUCAACAAUGUGGACAAGCUAGGAAAACAAGAGGUGUAAUUCAUGUCACAAUUCACACCCCCACACACACUCAGACAUAGGACACAUCCAAGCACCCAAUACUGCCAUAAUUAAAUGCAUAAGGAAUGCUUAUGAAUUCGAUUUCUCAUUAUGUAUGUAUAGAGUUUAUAUAUACUGUAGAUUUAUACCACAAUACAUUAUUCAGUUAUAUAAUUGUAUAUAUUACAGUAUAAUAAAAUUAUAUUAUUGUAUAAUUACCAUCGUAAAAUAAAUUAUUAAGUGUAAUAUAAUUAUGUUAUUAUAUAACAAAUACAAUCUAUUACCAUUAUUUUUUAUAUUACUAUUAUUUUAAUGCAUUUAACAUUACAUUAUAGAAUGCCAAGUUGGUACAUGUGUUAUCAGUUUACCAUUUAGAAGGAAUCCUUACCAGUUGUUUUUGUGCGUGUUUGAAAUUAUACCGUUGCUGAAUAAAUGGAGUU